rnacentral:ncRNA from 1 species
UCUAAAACGAUGAGUAGGAAGAGUAACAAAACAGAUGCUGAUCCAGAGAGCUUACGGGUGGUGUGAGUAAGCAAAGCGGUUUUGCGAAUGGGCCUAUGAGUAAGAUCCUGAACGAAGAGUAGGGAUUUUCGGCGCUCCCGUUAACGAGUGAUUCCAGAUAUCUGGAAAUAGAGAUGAUCAGUGUUUCUGCUGAUCAACAUGAGGUGGUACCGCGAUAAUUCGCCCUCUAA